UGGUGAGUCCCCAGCUGCGUCCUGCUGCUCGGGCUGCUCCCAGCCGCUCUCCCCGUAUUCCUAAGAGCAGCAUUUAAAGUGACAAGAAUCAAGUCAAUUUCAUUCUACUGCUGUCCCAGACAGCCUGGAGCAGCAACAAGAGGAGGCAGAUCCAAAAACCAGACACUUGAGGAAGCCAGAGAAGAGGCAGAGAGAGCUACUUUGAGUUUCAGACACCUACUAGCAAGAGUUUCAUACAAAAGACGGAGCCAUCCAAGGGGAAUUCAAGAUCUCUGGUCGGAAGAAUCCCAACUCCCUCCUAUAAAGGCAUGUUUUAACUCCAAAUAUGAAUAAUGGAUUUGAAGAAAGGAUGUUGCUGCACAUAUUAAUCUGACAAAAAAGAAAACACUCCAGAGGGCCUGAGAACAGUCAAGAUUACUUUACAUGGUCAACAAUCACAUGACAGAAGGAUUAAAAACUUUGAAGUAAAUAUAUACAAGUAGAAUUACUUUGAAAAUGUAAGAAAAGACUUUUCAGAGUUAGAGAUCUGAUAUAGUUGAGAUUUUUUCUGCACACUGAUGUUGACUGUGCAUGCCCACUCAUAAUUUAAAAAAAAAAAUCUAACUUUUAAUUGUUUUAAAUGAGGCAUAGUUAGAAUAUUUUUCUUCUGGAUAGUUAUCCACACUAACUAACAUCUGUUAAGACUAUGUUACUAUGGUAUGCCAGAGGAUCAAAGCCAGAUGAUUUUAAGUUUGGUCAUAUUUAAGUAAAGCUACAUUUAACGCACAUAAAUA